AAAAAAAAAAAAAAAAAAAAAAAAAAAAAAAAAAAAAAAAAAAAAAAAAAAAAUUCAUUUAUAUAGUAACGGGAACAAUGCCAAAAAAAAAAAAAAAAAAAAAAAAAAAAAAAAAAAAAAAAAAAAAAAAAAAAAAAAAAAAAAAAAAAACGAAAUCAAA